UAUGGUGAUUAUAGCGGUGAGGUCCACCUCUUCCCAUUCCGAACAGAGAAGUUAAGCUCACCAGCGCCGAUGAUACUGCAGCAAUGUGGAAAAGUAGGUCGUCGCCAGAU
rnacentral:rRNA from 1 species